AAUCGUAUACAGCAAAUCAACCUUGUAAACUUUAGAUCUUCACGAAAUUCGUAUCCUAGCCUCUAAUUUUCAUGAAUACAUAAUAGGAUUAUUGUAGCAGCAAAAAUCCUUAUAAAACAAAAAAAAAUCGGGCCCUUAUGGGAUUUGGCCUGAAAAUUACAAAAACUCGUUCAAACUAACUAUUUUAAUUAAGUCUGGAACUUCAAC
rnacentral:lncRNA from 1 species